UACAGAGGAGCCAAGCGUUGUCCGGAUUGACUGGGCGUAAAGCGCACGCAGGCGGUUGCGCGCGUGGGGUGUGAAAUCUGGCCGCUUAACGGCCAGGCGCCAUCCCAUACGGCGCGACUGGAGUGAUGCAGAGGUCGAUGGAAUUGCCGGUGUAGUGGUGAAAUGCGCAGAUAUCAGGAGGAACACCGGUGGCGAAGGCGGGUCUCUGGGCCGAUACUGACGCUGAGGAGCGAAAGCGUGGGGAGCGAACAGG
rnacentral:rRNA from 1 species